GGGCCUGUAGCUCAGUUGGUUAGAGCGCACGCCUGAUAAGCGUGAGGUCGGUGGUUCAAGUCCCCCCAGGCCCACCA
rnacentral:tRNA from 1 species